rnacentral:lncRNA from 1 species
AGAGUUUGAAACUCUUCCACCAGUCCCUGCUUGAAAUCUUUUGUGCUUUGUAAAAUCAUCAGCAUCAUCAUCAUCAUCCUUUUUCUUCCUUUUCAGAGAUUGAGUAGUAGACUUGCAUUUGACUUGAGCUACUCUCUCCCCCUUUUUGACAUCAUCCUCAUCAGGAAUCAGAAUGGAUGUGAUCAGAGAAAGUGAAGUUUGGAUAGCUUCAAGCUGUU